GUAGGGACCGGGCGGAGGUUCAUUA
rnacentral:rRNA from 1 species